GCACGUUAAUGUUAUUACAUUCUAACUGUUUGAGUGUCUUUAUUCAGCCUGAAGAAUGUCUUAUUAAGAAUACACUCUUGACAUUUAAUUGGUCCUUCGAGCCGGAUUUUGGACAUCGAAUUAUGCUCCAACAGAGUGACCUCGUCGUUUCCUGACAUCGUGGAGAGCCCGCGCUGAAGUCUGUCGACAGCCUCUUUCCUAUGAAAGAGAAAAGACCAACUAUGUGAAUUCGGGGUUGGCCAGCGUUCUUAGUAAGAGGUCCACGAUCCUGGGGAACGAGGAGGAAUCUCUGACCGGCACUUAUAUCAUCAUAACCAGUCUCUUCCAGGUUGAAACCAGGCGACUGGAUCCUGAUCAAGGUUCUCCAGAGGAAAAACUGGAGCUCACCGAGGUGGGAGGGCCCUUUUCAGGUCCUGCUAACGACGCCAACAGCGUGCAAGACCGCUGAAAGACCUUCGUGGAUCCACCAGAGCCACACCAAAAAAAGUACAAGGGGACACAAGCCCAGACGCCAGUUCACCUGUCAUCUAGUGAUCUGUAAGUGGAGGAGAGGGCAGAUUGGGUAUACCCGCCCUCUUGACUUCUCGCUUUCAGUCAACACACUAGGUGAUCUGGUGAACUUGGUCGACCUGAAGAAACCCCAUUGUAGCCCGAGCACCGACCUAGCCCCACCUGCCCGGUAGAGUAAAGGAAGAUCAGUCCAACCUGCAAAACCAGAAGAGCAACCCAUCACUCAAGUAACUACUCAGACACUCACAAACAAUGCCUGACAUAGACGUGCAAAAUGAACAUUCAGACAUUUCAGAUGGAGAGGACCCAGUCCCCAACAGGACUCGACGACGAUGCUGGUCAGAGGAAUGCCAACUAAUGCAUAAUUAUGUACCUCAUAACAAAAUUGAAAUGGCAUUCUUUGUAAACCUACUACAAACUCUAGAAACAGUAAUGAAUACAAGUCUGCGUGCAUGUGCUCCAAAAGAACCAAUAAAGAACUUAACAACACUUCCGGUCACACCGCCCGAACUAGCCCAUAACAUGACCAUGGUCUGCCUAUGGAGACUUAGAGUCCCAGAAAAGCAGGGUGUAUCUUUUGUUUAUCCAAAUAAGACACUGCAACCGGAAUCUUCCUGGCACAAGCUUAUAGCCCGAUAGCAACUGAGGAAGAAGAAGACUGUGUUUAAAAAUUUCCUGUACUUAACAUGACUAGCAAUUGAAAAUGUGCAAACAAGUGAUUGUCUACUGAAGCCUAUGAAGUAUGAGUGAAAUAUAUUAACAACAGGAGGGAAUGUUAUGAGAUUCUAUGUUUUUUAUGUGUUUUAUUCUUUGUUUUAUUAUCUUUUAAUAUUCAAGCAUAUUGUAAAGUGUUUAUAUAUUUCACAGAAUUUGCUGUACUUCUCCAUGUCACAAGAUUCGAUGUAUUGCUCCAUUGUCAUGCAACCCGACAGUGAACUCUGCAAUACAUAUAGUUUAAGCAGGAAACAGAUGCGGGUCACCCAGACUACAAUAGAAAACGGAUGAGGCACCUAAACCACAACAGGAAAACAGAUGCGCGACUCCCUAACCACAAAAGAUUAAGUCAGCGCCACGUCUUUUAGAAAGAAGCAGACACACACACACAUAUACAACUGUUGGUUUAAAGGAAUUUGUAAAAGAGGAAAUGUGACGUAUUUGCAUACGCGAUGUAACCUAUAAAUAAAGAACUGUGCCUGCACUCAGGGUGUGGGUCUCGCCAGAGUCCUCACCCGUGCGUGAGUCUCGUCAGAGUUCUCACCCGUGCACGUUAAUGUUAUUACAUUCUAACUGUUUGAGUGUCUUUAUUCAGCCUGAAGAAUGUCUUAUUAAGAAUACACUCUUGACAAGUAUGCUUGUCGAUAUCAGAAUAUCCCUUUUCUUUGCCUUGAGAAACUCUUGUCUCGUGGGUUGCUUUUGCAGAAUUAUGUAUUUCCGCUGUGAAGCAUUGUCCAAUCAGAUCUGCAGCUUUUAGCUGAAUCUGAGCACAGUAUAGCUCUGUAAACUUCAGAAUUCAUUCUACCACUUAUAUAAGUAGUCACAUCAUCAAUAAACACUAAUGACUGGUUCCACUGCCCGUGCCAUAACACUGGCCCCACAUGGUUGAGAAAUGAUGACAGGUGCCCCUUUCCUUCUGCAUACAUUUCUCGCCCCAUCAUUCAGGUACAAGUUAAUCUUAUUUUCACCUUUGUGGACCUGUACAUACAUAAUAACAACUUAUUUUUAAUGUCAGCUUAAAAGACUCAGUAUUGACAACCUUGGUUACUAUGGAGUGCAAUACUAUAUGAUUUGCUGGCAGGACCAAGUUAACUGUGUGUCUGGUUGUUAGUGAAUUAGCUUGAAUAACUACUGAGGGUAAACAAACCUGGUAAAACGAUCCAGUGGCCUGUAUUAUGAAUAAAGUUCAACAAAACCCUGAGUAUCUUUUCUUUUCUGACAUUGUUUGCUCUAACAAGGGUUAAUAUUUUAAACAGUCAAAGAUUGGCAUGCAAAUGUUUUAACUGAUAAAUUAUUUGAUUACUCUGUGA
ensembl:lncRNA